AGUAAAUAUCUUGUAAACAAUUGUUAUGGUUUAUAAAACUUUAAUAUUGUGUAGGGGCGAACAAAAUCUAGUGAUGAGUACUGAAAAGGAAUACGAGAAAUAAUUAAUAAGGCUUUAACUAAUAACCCAAAGGUAAACUCUAUUUCCUUUUGCAUAAUGAUUUAAUUAGGGCACUUGCUGGCGUUAAUUAGUGUUAGUAAUCCCGAAACUAAACGAUUUAUUCUAGUCCUAGUAAAUUAAUGACUUAACUAAUCUAUGUUGCAAUAUAGUUAGAUGAGGCUAGAAUGGGGGUGACAUGCUAAUCGCGUUUAGUUCUAGCUGGUUAUUCAAGAAAUGAAUAAGAGUUCAGCUUUGUAGUAUUACCAAGUGGGAUUUAUCGGAAUAUGCUGGUAAAUCUAAGUGUAAACAAUCAUCUACUAUAUAUAAAUUCUGAUUUGUCUGUAGUUGGCUUAAAAGCAGCCAUCUUGUAAUAACAGCGUUAUAGCUUACAGUGAGGCGGUAACUUUAUUUUAGUUUGGUAUUGAAUAACUCUUAUAGAAUUUUAUGUUAAAAUGCGUAGGUUAACUAACUCUUAACACAAAUGUAAGUAAUUUUACUCUUUGUAUUUUGUUCUAGAUAAAGAAUUAAUGUGAAGCUAACAGGAGAGUGUAAUUGAGUUACAUAAUUAGGGGGAAGGAACUCGGCAAACAUGAAGCUCGCCUGUUUAACAAAAACAUCGCCUUUAGACUAAUAUUAAAGGUCUGGUCUGCCCGGUGUAAUUAUUAACGGCCGCGGUAUUCUGACUGUGCAAAGGUAGCAUAAUCACUUGCCCUUUAAAUGGGGGAAUGUAUGAAUGAUUAGACGAGGUUUCGACUGUCUUUCCCCUAAAAACUGAGAUUUCAGUGUCUGUGAAAAUGCGGGCAUGGCUGUAAUGGACGAGAAGACCCUGUUGAGCUUGAAGACUACAUAUUAGCGUCUGUUAGAAUAAAAUAAUUAAUUAUUACCAAACAUGCGUAAUUAAACGGUCUUUUGGCUGGGGUGGCAAGCAAAGGAAUUAAGCUUUGAUAUUAAAAUUUACAUUUUUAGGCUGUUUAUGCCAAGGAAUACUAAUACAGAUCCGCUAAGAGCGAUUAAUAGAUAAAGUUACCACAGGGAUAACAGCGUAAUUCUUUUUGAGAGCCCAUAUUGACAAAAGGGUUUGCGACCUCGAUGUUGGAUCAAGAUUCCUAAUGGUGUAGCAGCUAUUAUGGGUUUGCCUGUUCGGCGAUUAAAAUCUUACGUGAUCUGAGUUCAGACCGUCGUAAGACAGGUUAGAUUCUAUCCUUACAUUCACAUAUUUAGUACGAAAGGACCAAUGGUGUGUAAUUUUAAGGUUUUUUUAAAUUAUA
rnacentral:rRNA from 1 species